rnacentral:rRNA from 1 species
UGGGGAAUAUUGCACAAUGGAGGGAACUCUGAUGCAGCGACGCCGCGUGAGUGAUGAAGGAAUUCGUUUCGUAAAACUCUGUUCUAUGGGAAGAAAAGGACUGUACCAUAGGAGAAAGCUCCGGCUAAAUACGUGCCAGCAGCCGCGGUAAUACGUAUGGAGCGAGCGUUGUCCGGAAUUAUUGGGCGUAAAGGGUGCGCAGGCGGCUUUACAAGUUGGAUGUGAAAUAUUGUGGCUCAACCACAAACGUGCAUCCAAAACUGCAAAGCUUGAGUUAAGGAGAGGUAAGUGGAAUUCCUGGUGUAGCGGUGGAAUGCGUAGAUAUUAAAAAGAAUACCGGUGGCGAAGGCGACUUACUGGGCUCAUUCUGACGCUGAGGAACGAAAGCGUGGGUAGCAAACAGG